UACGGAGGAUGCAAGCGUUAUCCGGAAUGAUUGGGCGUAAAGCGUCCGCAGGUGGUUGUGUGUGUCUAUUGUCAAAGCAUCAUGCUUAACAUGAUAAAGGCAGUAGAAACUACACGACUAGAGUGCGUUCGGGGCAGAGGGAAUUCCUGGUGUAGCGGUGAAAUGCGUAGAGAUCAGGAAGAACACCGGUGGCGAAAGCGCUCUGCUAGGCCGCAACUGACACUGAGGGACGAAAGCGUGGGGAGCAAACAGG
rnacentral:rRNA from 1 species